CUUGUAAAGAGUUUGGUCAAUGCCAGAAAGAAAAUAAACCAAGCAUAUUAAAAAAAAUUAUGUAUUAAUCUUUAGUAAAAGUAUAGGUGGUAAUUUAAAUUUAGAGAAAAGAUAGAAAGAUAUAUAGUCUCCUCAGCAUUUUAUUAUGAGGUACGCCACAGGUCUGCUCCUUUUUCCAUUCGUCCCAGUAAAUUAUUGCCAGUAUUGUGGCAGUUUCUCAAGUUUUUGAGGUAUUUUUAGGCCAGUUUGGAAAAAUCUACUACCGGCACCAAAAGCUACAUUAUGGAAUACAGUGUAUGUGUAGUGAGCUAAAAAUGUUAAUGGAUGCAUAUAAUUAACGAAUUAUUACACAUAAAACCUUGAUCAUGAUUAAUUUAUAUAAUUAAUAAUUUAUAGGACACCCUUGGUCUGACAGAACUUAUAGUGUGAAAGGUGUGCUGUGACAAGUACGUGGCUGCCGCCUUCCUGCCCUGUGGUCACCUGGUCUGCUGUCUGGACUGUGCCCCCGCCAUUUCGUGGUGCCCUCUCUGUAUAAAAAUCAUCAAGGGCACAGUCAAAACAUACUUUGCCUAAUUAAAUCAAUAAAAAACAACAGGGACCUGUAUCUUGUAACAUGUAUCUGAUUAUGUCUAACCUAGAGAAUAUGGCUAUGGUGAUAGAGUAAAACAAGAGAAGCAGGUGUCACUGGAGGAUGAGGAGGUGUCCCCUCUGUACAGAACUCAUCAAGGGCACAGUCAAAACCUACUUCCUAUUUUCUAAAGUAGCUC